rnacentral:lncRNA from 1 species
GAUGAUCAUAUAUUAUAUCAAAAUCAACGAUCAUAUAACCAUAACCCAACACGUAUGUUCAAAGGUUAUAAACACAUCUAUAGGCCAUUUCAAAAGUUAUACAAGACAGGACCCCCAAAAUACGACACAAUAGAGUGUAAACUCAAAACAAUAGCCCAAUAAAUAACCCUACAGGUCGUCAUCCAUGUACAUUGAUAUUUGGAAUCCCGUAAGAGCUCCACAGCUAGCCGUGCCCUCUACAUAGUUCCAUGCUCACCUACAAUAUAAGAACUACAUAAGCCAAUGCUUAGUAAGCAAGAAUCAUGCAUGUCAUGAGUAUGAGUAACAAGGAUAUGUGACACCAUGUCAUUUACUUUAAACAUCAUGCUAAAGAUGCAUCAUAUUCCAAUAUUAAUCAAAGUCGACUCGAAAUUAUUUCAUUUGAAAUCUUUCAUUUCAUUGGGCCCUUAACCCACCAACUAUGCACCGGAUAGAGCUCUGCAUAAUAUCAAUAUCAAUAAUCAAGUGGCCAAUAUGAAAUCGACACCGGCGAGUGGACCAUCCUCUCGUGACCACUAGAGGUCCAUGCCCUGACUACCCCUAUGAUCACCCAAGAAGUCUCCCACCCAGCAGCGCCAAUAAUCAUAAUAUCACAAGGGCACAGUCGAGUGAUCCGUCCUCCCGUGAUCACCAAAGGCCCAUCCUCUGUAUACCUUUGCAGUCACCCGGGAAGUAACACCCGCAAUGCCAAAC